rnacentral:rRNA from 1 species
ACUCUCAACAACGGAUAUUUGGCUCUCGCAACGAUGAAAACCAGCGAAAUGCGAUACGUAGUGUGAAUUGCAGAAUUCCGUGAGUCAUAAUCUUUGAACGCACAUUGCCGGUCGACUUUACGGAGGAACCACAUUGCCUAGGGUGGAA